UUGAUCUAUUGGCGACUGACUUGUAUGAGAAGAACCGCUUCCAGCCGAUGUCACUGUAGCUGCUGCAAAAAAAAAUACAAAAUUUUGACCAGAAUCAAGACUUGGAAAUCACCUGUCAGAUAAAAUAAUUAUAAGAACGAGAAUACGAGAAUUAAGAAUAUUCAAAUAACAAUGAGGAAGACAUGUUUAUAUAUGGACAAAAUGUUUUAAAAGAAUGGGGAACCAGGGACAAGGAAAAUAGAAAACAGACACCAAGGAAGACAUCCGAUAUCGAGGAAAGAUGGACGGAGAAGAGAUGCAUGGAAAGCUGCUUGACUCUCGCCUGGGCUCGCUGCAACUCCCGGCUCCAAGCCUUCGUUUCUGAUAAGCCCUGGUCUCCGCAUAACUUCACUAGUAGCUUUAAGCCUAUAUUUAAAACAAUGAACGCUGACGUAAUAAGACGCCGCAUGGCAUACGAGAAUGAUCUCCUCACGUUAGUCGGCUGUAUCCUCGCAGCUCGUCUGUAGUAUUGCAGAGCUUCGUCCGGAGUUGCUUCCUUGGCCAGCCACUCCAGUGCCGACAGCUCACAGGGCCAGACUGCUUCCACCUUAAAUACAGAGGCUAUUCAAUAAAAAAAUAAUUUUGGAAGCGAAGCUUUUAAAAAUUUAAACGAACGUCCGGGCCAAUCGCUGCGCGGCAACUCUAUUAGUGCAAAGCGACAGAUUUUAGCGUUACACGAGAGCGUCAGAUUUGCACAGUACCGUUACACGAUAUUGUGGGCUUUCUCUUUGUCUACUCUAUGCUGUUUAACCUGUUUCGUAUAUCCUUUCUGUUGAUUAUUAAUAAACCGUGUAAAUUGUCUCUCA